CCCUAAACCCGAUUGACGUGGAAAUACUUUUUGGAGCGUCAUUUCGACGAGGAACGAGGAGAAAUCUAACUAGAUGCAAACUAAGCGCUAGAUUUCUCUCUGCGUUCGAAAUGACGACAACAGCACACAAAAAGAUUAAAACAAAAAGCGGGACUAACA
rnacentral:sRNA from 1 species